UACGUAGGGGGCGAGCGUUGUCCGAAGUUACUGGGCGUAAAGCGCGCGUAGGCGGUUUCUUAAGUUUGGGGUGAAAGGUUCAGCGCUCAACGUGAACAGUGCCUUGGAGACUGGGAGACUUGAGUGUGGCAGAGGAGCAUGGAAUUCCUGGUGUAGCGGUGAAAUGCGUAGAGAUCAGGAGGAAUACCGAUGGCGAAGGCAGUGCUCUGGGCUAACACUGACGCUGAGGUGCGAAAGCGUGGGGAGCGAACGGG
rnacentral:rRNA from 1 species